rnacentral:rRNA from 1 species
AGAGUUUGAUCCUGGCUCAGGAUGAACGCUGGCGGCGUGCCUAACACAUGCAAGUCGAGCGCGAUUAGUUGGAACGGAGACUUCGGUCAAAGAGAAGACUAUGAAAGCGGCGGACGGGUGAGUAACGCGUGAGCAACCUGCCCUGUACAGGGGGAUAGCCACUGGAAACGGUGAUUAAUACCCCAUAACCCCAAAGGAUCGCAUGGUCUAAUGGGCAAAGCCUUGGCGGUACAGGAUGGGCUCGCGUCUGAUUAGCUAGUUGGUGAGGUAACGGCUCACCAAGGCGACGAUCAGUAGCCGACCUGAGAGGGUGAACGGCCACACUGGAACUGAGACACGGUCCAGACUCCUACGGGAGGCAGCAGUGGGGAAUAUUGCACAAUGGGCGCAAGCCUGAUGCAGCAACGCCGCGUGAGUGAAGAAGGCCUUCGGGUCGUAAAACUCUGUCCUAAGGGAAGAAGAAGUGACGGUACCUUAGGAGGAAGCCCCGGCUAACUACGUGCCAGCAGCCGCGGUAAUACGUAGGGGGCAAGCGUUAUCCGGAAUCACUGGGCGUAAAGGGUGCGUAGGCGGCUGAUCAAGCCAGGGGUGAAAGGCUGUGGCUUAACCAUGGUAAGCCUUUGGAACUGGUCAGCUUGAGUGCAGGAGAGGAAAGCGGAAUUCCUAGUGUAGCGGUGAAAUGCGUAGAUAUUAGGAGGAACACCCGUGGCGAAGGCGGCUUUCUGGACUGUAACUGACGCUGAGGCACGAAAGCGUGGGGAGCAAACAGGAUUAGAUACCCUGGUAGUCCACGCUGUAAACGAUGAAUACUAGGUGUCGGGGGUCAAAGCCCGGUGCCGCAGCUAACGCAUUAAGUAUUCCGCCUGGGGAGUACGGUCGCAAGACUGAAACUCAAAUGAAUUGACGGG